AGUGAACGCUGGCGGCGUGCCUAACACAUGCAAGUCGCACGAGAAAGUCCCAGCUUGCUGGGGCGAGUAAAGUGGCGCACGGGUGAGUAACGCGUGGGUAAUCUACCUCCGAAUUGGGGAUAACACUGCGAAAGCGGUGCUAAUACCGAAUGACAUCCCCGAGACUCCGGUCUUGGUGAUCAAAGGUGGCCUCUACAUGUAAGCUAUUGUUUGGAGAUGAGCCCGCGUACCAUUAGCAUAGUUGGUAGGGUAACGGCCUACCAAGGCUGCGAUGGUUAGCUGGUCUAAGGGGAGGUCAAGCCAAACGGGAACUGACACACGGUCCAGACUCCUACGGGAGGCAGCAGUGAGGAAUUUUGCGAAAUUGGGGAAACCCUGACGCAGCAACGCGGCGUGAGUGAUGAAGGCUUUCGGGUCGUAAAGCUCUGUCAAGUGGGAAGAACCUGCUUUGUGAUAAUACCACGAAGCACUGACGGUACCACUGAAGGAAGCACCGGCUAACUCCGUGCCAGCAGCCGCCGUAAUAC
rnacentral:rRNA from 1 species